GACUGUGCAAAGGUAGCAUAAUCAGUUGACUCUUAAUUGGGGCCGGGAAUGAACGAAUACACGGGGAAGAGCUGUCCCUUUAGUGUUUUUGAAUUUGGUUAACAAGUGCAAAUACUUGUAUUAUUAAAUAAGACGAGAAGACCCUUGAAGCUUUAGGAAAUUCUUUUGUUGGGGCGACAGAAUUACAUUUAACUAAUUUGUUAAUACCUGAAGGUUUACAUGUGCGUUUAAGCUACUCGAGGGAUAACAGCAUAAUUUUA
rnacentral:rRNA from 1 species